AUUGAACGCUGGCGGCAUGCCUUACACAUGCAAGUCGAACGGCAGCACGGACUUCGGUCCGGUAGCGAGUGGCGAACGGGUGAGUAAUAUAUCGGAACAUACCUUGUAGUGGGGGAUAACUAUCCGAAAGGAUAGCUAAUACCGCAUACGCUCUAAGGAGGAGAGCGGGGGAUCGUAAGACCUCGUGCUAUAAGAGUGGCCGAUAUCUGAUUAGCUAGUUGGUGAGGUAAAGGCUCACCAAGGCGACGAUCAGUAGCUGGUCUGAGAGGACGACCAGCCACACUGGAACUGGGACACGGUCCAGACUCCUACGGGAGGCAGCAGUGGGGAAUUUUGGACAAUGGGGGCAACCCUGAUCCAGCAAUGCCGCGUGAGUGAAGAAGGCCUUCGGGUUGUAAAGCUCUUUUGUCAGGGAAGAAACGGUUGUGGCUAAUAUCCAUGGCUAAUGACGGUACCUGAAGAAUAAGCACCGGCUAACUACGUGCCAGCCGCCGCAGUAACAC
rnacentral:rRNA from 1 species